CGCGUAGGUGGUUUGUUAAGAUUGUUGUGAAAUCCCUGGGCUUAACCUAGGAACUGCAACGGUGACUGAUGAGCUAGAGUAUUGUAGAGGGUAGUGGAAUUUCCGGUGUAGCGGUGAAAUGCGUAGAGAUCGGAAGGAACACCAGUGGCGAAGGCGGCUACCUGGACAAAUACUGACACUGAGGCGCGAGAGCGUGGGAGCAAACA
rnacentral:rRNA from 1 species